rnacentral:scRNA from 1 species
ACGCUACUUUUUAUCGCUGGGAUCAUUGCAAU